UGCAAAGUCUGCAUUGAGGUUCAGGUCAUC
rnacentral:piRNA from 1 species